GUUUGAUGUUCUAACGUGGACCCGUGAUCCGGGUUGCGGACAGUGUCUGGUGGGUAGUUUGACUGGGGCGGUCUCCUCCUAAAGAGUAACGGAGGAGCACGAAGGUUGGCUAAUCCUGGUCGGACAUCAGGAGGUUAGUGCAAUGGCAUAAGCCAGCUUGACUGCGAGCGUGACGGCGCGAGCAGGUGCGAAAGCAGGUCAUAGUGAUCCGGUGGUUCUGAAUGGAAGGGCCAUCGCUCAACGGAUAAAAGGUACUCCGGGGAUAACAGGCUGAUACCGCCCAAGAGUUCAUAUCGACGGCGGUGUUUGGCACCUCGAUGUCGGCUCAUCACAUCCUGGGGCUGAAGUAGGUCCCAAGGGUAUGGCUGUUCGCCAUUUAAAGUGGUACGCGAGCUGGGUUUAGAACGUCGUGAGACAGUUCGGUCCCUAUCUGCCGUGGGCGCUGGAGAACUGAGGGGGGCUGCUCCUAGUACGAGAGGACCGGAGUGGACGCAUCACUGGUGUUCGGGUUGUCAUGCCAAUGGCACUGCCCGGUAGCUAAAUGCGGAAGAGAUAAGUGCUGAAAGCAUCUAAGCACGAAACUUGCCCCGAGAUGAGUUCUCCCUGACUCCUUGAGAGUCCUGAAGGAACGUUGAAGACGACGACGUUGAUAGGCCGGGUGUGUAAGCGCAGCGAUGCGUUGAGCUAACCGGUACUAAUGAACCGUGAGGCUUAACCUU
rnacentral:rRNA from 1 species